rnacentral:rRNA from 1 species
UACGUAGGGGGCAAGCGUUGUCCGGAUUUAUUGGGCGUAAAGAGCGUGUAGGCGGUCUGGUAGGUCCGCUGUGAAAACUCGAGGCUCAACCUCGAGACGCCGAUGGAAACCAUCAGACUAGAGUCCGGAAGGGGAGAGUGGAAUUCCUGGUGUAGCGGUGAAAUGCGCAGAUAUCAGGAAGAACACCCGUGGCUAAGGCGGCCCUCUAGUACGGUACUGACGCUGAGACGCGAAAGCGUGGGGAGCGAACAGG